rnacentral:rRNA from 1 species
UACCAGCACCCCGAGUGGUCGGGACGUUUAUUGGGCCUAAAGCAUCCGUAGCCGGUUCUACAAGUCUUCCGUUAAAUCCACCUGCUUAACAGAUGGGCUGCGAAAGAUACUAUAGAGCUAGGAGGCGGGAGAGGCAAGCGGUACUCGAUGGGUAGGGGUAAAAUCCGUUGAUCCAUUGAAGACCACCAGUGGCGAAGGCGGCUUGCCAGAACGCGCUCGACGGUGAGGGAUGAAAGCUGGGGGAGCAAACCGG